rnacentral:lncRNA from 1 species
UAUACAUCUUAUAUUAUACUAGAUUGUAUAUUGAAGAUUCCUGAACGCUUUGGUUUUUGUUUAGCUGCAGGUUCAGAGCUGUUCAUUCUCUCUGUGUGCUGACUUCAAAAGGUAUAUGUGUUUGCUCUCAAUUUCAUGCUAAUCUGAUGUGAUGCUCUUCUUCUACUGAAAGUUUGCUCUAUAAUGAAUUACACAACCAUUAAAUGUUUGAUCAAAUAUGGUUUAAAAUCAGCUGUGUUUUAUAUGCACAAAAAGUCACUCAUUUCCUCCUCUCUUUUUUUGUUUUUCAAAGAAUCUCCAAAUAACAGAUUAACGCAUUAUAUCAGAAUCUCUGAGCUUUAAAAUUUGGAUAAUUUCGUGCAAAGUAUUAUUUUAGUUAUACCACAACUUGAACUGCACCGGCUUUUUACAUGCAUGGUUGUUUACAUGAGUUUCAGAUAGUGACACAUGUGUUGGGUUUCCAGCCCAUGUGUUUUUCCUAAGAUGUUUCGUCUUAGAGUAUGGUGUUCCAAUAAGGAAAGGAUAUCCUUAUUGAUGAUGGUAUACCUGUAAUCUUGUUGAUUACAGAGAAGGAAGGAGGCAUUAUUGCCUACCACUAAUAGGAAUAGGAUUCCUAUUUGGUGAAGAGAUCUGAAGAUCCUUAUGGCUAUAUAAGGAGGGGUUGUGCUCUAAGGUUUUGUAUCGCAGAGACGAAGACCAAAGUGUGUUCCAUUCUCGGUUAGAGGGUGAGAGAGGGCAGAGAGGAGAGAGAUAGGAAGAGAAGUGAGAGAGUCCUUGUUUUCUUAUUCUUUCUGGUGUACCCAUUAUUAAUAUAGUGGAAGUGUUUUCUGCCGGUGGACGUAGGCAAAAGUUUUGCUGAACCACCUUAAAUCUAUGUUCUUUGUGUCUUAUCUCUGUGGUUGUUUCUCUUGGUUUGCUGUGUUCUUUUGGGGUUCCUUGACAUACAUAAUUGGCCGAUAUCACAACAACAUGCGCCUUUGUUAGUAUAGCCUUGGAUCGAGGUUUUGAAAAUUCAUCUUUACCACCUCCAUCCCCAUCUCAAUUACAACAUAUAUAAUGAAAAUCAAUUUGAUGAUACCGAGGUUUUGUGAAUUGAAUUGCUAAAAGUUUGGCGCUCUAAUGCUUUUUAAACAAUUUGAUGCCAAAUGGUAUUGUGUCUACGGAAAUUAUCAUCUCAAUUUAUAAUGAUUAAUGUGUCGUAUAUGCAUCCCCCUUCUCGAUUACUCAUAGUAGAGACAGAACCCUUUCUUGUUAUUUUCGUUUCUAGACAAUCAUGUUAAGGUUUUUAAAUUUGGUUCUUAAUUGAAAUACCAACUUAUAGACUUUGUUUAUUUGAUUAGAUAACGACUACAAUUCAAAUUUUACAAUAGAUUUUUACAUUUGUUUAUACUGAGACUUGCAGUUUAUAAACUAAGGUCCACUUUU